rnacentral:SRP_RNA from 9 species
GCAGGACGUAAUGGCUCAUGCCUGUAAUCCCAGCACUUUGGGAGGCUGAGGCGGGCGGAUCAGUUGAGCUCAGGAGUUCGAGACCAGCCUGGCCAACAUGGUGAAACCCCGUCUCUA